rnacentral:lncRNA from 1 species
UUUUAUUUCACUUACUGUAAAUGUGAGUUAGAGCAAAUAGGCUCCUGAUGGUUAGCUGGGCUGGCUACUUUAGCCUUGCAGGAGGCAGUGUAUUACAAUGGCAGUAGAUGUUUGGGAGUCAGGUGUAUAAUUUUGGCUUCACUACCUACUGGGUGUGAGGCUUAACCUCUCUGAGUUUUAGUUUCCUCUUCUGUACAGUAGGGUUAAUACAUUUUCCCUAGGUCAUUUCUAACUUUUAUAUAAGCUCACAAAUGUAAAACAAAAAACUGUAUGGUAGGAUAUUUCUAGGCAAAUCAAUGUAUGUUAUGGUCCCUCUUGCUUUUCUUUGACUUAAAUGGAAUCAAUCAUUGCAUUGGAUAAGAAGGGAAGCAGUACUGGUUGAGUGAACACUGUGAAUUUGGAGGACGUGUGCUGGACCUCAGCCAUACCUCUAACACAUUGGGUAACCUUGGACACACAACGUGACCUCACAGAACUCCAGUUCCCUCUGUCAUAAUCUGGAAUGAUGAUAUCAAUCAAGUGAAGCAGCUAUCACAGGGUCUGGAACAUAGUACAUCCCAGCCUUCUUGCACAUAGAAACACUACACAGCACUUCAGCUGUAUGUUUGGGGGCCAUUUUAAACAGCAAAAUCAUCAACAGGAAGCAGAAAAUUGUAAAAAUUGUGGCACUAAAUAGACCAUGUAAAGGACACAUGUUUGCAAUAAGAAAGCUGAAACAAGAAGGGGGAGUGUCACCUUAUUUGAUCCAGCUAGAAACUCAGGUGCUGGUAUUCCAGCAACACUCAGGCGGCUGCUCCAGGAGGCUGCAGAGGGGUCCUUUUUAGCCGUCAACAAAACUGGCUAUGGUCACGCCCAUUGGGAAACUCAUUGCUGCCUUCAAGGACUCAGAAGCUGUAGGAAUAUUCAGGCACAGACACCAGACCCAGCUUCAUCUCUAACUUGUGGCAAAGGACAGUACAUCCUGGGAUGGGACCCUAUGCUCCCCUAUGCCAUUUAGACAGAGCCUGGGGAGAGUGACUUCCCAGGGUAUCCAUGUUGGAAUCUCUCAUUUGAUUCUUAUUCAAAUUUAGGUUCUGUCAAUAGAAGAUACUAAAGAAAGAAAGCCAGGAGAAGAAAAGGGACUUCUUUCUUCAAGGUCUAAGCUGUUCUAAUAGCAUUAUUCUGGGAAUGGCAUCUUCCACUCCUCCUAGUACAAAGAACCUGCUUCCUCAUACCCCGUCAAGGAACUGCAGCAUCCAGGUGAUGGCCACAGUGGCAGAACCUAGGAAGCCAAGAAGAAACCAGAGAAUGGAGACACAUGGCAGCAAUGGCAAGUCAUCAGACCCAGGAUUUCCCAAAGAACACUGGUCCAGGAAGAUGCUCUGUGAAAAAGUGUUCCCUGGUCGGAGAAAUUUGUGAAACACUUUGCAUAAUACUUAAAAGAAUGUAUGGCACAUCAAAGGUAAUAUGCAAUAAAAGAAUUCAUUUUUUUAAAACCAAGCAUAUGCACAACUUAUUUAACUAUGGAUUCGAUUUUUAGAUUCAUAUUUUUUGACCCACAUUUGUGGAGCCACAUCCAUAGAACAGAUUUGACCAUGCUUAUGGUUAUCAUUAAAAAAUUUUUUUAAAUUCAGAUUGAUUUUGGAAUUGGUUUCCCAUCAUAGUUCAAGUAGAUACUGUCCCAAACAAUCUGAAAUCAAGAAAUUAGCAAAUGGGCUUGUUGUUUGUGGAUUUGAAUGGAUUGAAUUCCUACAGCAUUGAAGAAAGAUAUAUUUUAAAGCCUAUUUUUGGAAAAAUACUCUUAGUUGGGUAUUUCAUUUGAUUUGGUACACAGUAGUCAUAAAUUGCCAUCUUUUUCUGCUGUACUUUAUCCUAAAUAUAUUCCAUGGUAUGUUUUCAUAAUUAACAUGCAAAUAGAUGUAUAGUUUAUAAUUAAUUUCAACUGGGCACAGUGAAAAUCUUGAAAACCUCAGCAUGGAGGCAUCUUUGUUGGUAGAAAUUCAAUGAAAUCCCCAAACAUCUUUGGUUUUGCAAUCCAUAAUUUGCAGAUUAUUAAUACAAUAAAUCCUUGUUGUCUGUGAGAGUUGGCAUCGUACCCAUGAACUCCUGUGUAGAAAGCCUACAAACUAAAAGUCCAAAUGGAAAGAAAAAAUCACGUGGUUUCUGUGUAUGCUCAUUACCUGCUUCUGAAACCAUAAUAUCUCGGCCUUUUAUAGAUCUUAUAACAGUCUCCGCAGGAAGCAGCUGCAGUCAUUAGCCAUAGGACAGACUAAACACACAAUCUGCAUGGAAGGAGGCCUGGAUCAGCUUGGUCUUUCAGAUCUCUAAUCUCAGGCACAGGAAAGCACCAUCAACAGCACCCUUUGUAUAUAUACAUAAAGGUAACAUAUUUUAUCAUUUAAAGGGAUUUGAGAAAUUGAAGAGGCCCAACUCUUUUUCUGCCUUCUUUGGUUUGAGGCUUAGAUUGCUUAAGGGGCUUGCCCAGGAUCACAUAUCUUGUAAGAGACAGAGCAAGGAUUCAAAGCCAGUGCUGGCUUCUGUGUCUCCAUUCUUUCCAUUCUCCUCCAGUGGCUCUUUUGGGAAGCUGAGGGAGGAACAGCAGCAGAAUUGGGUGGCACCUGCCCAUGCCCAUCAUGCACUGAGCAUCUUCAGGUCUGGCCAUGGACCCCUUAAUUCCUAAUCCAGAAUUCCUCCCAUCACUCUUUGCUGAGAAAAGCACUAAAAUGGAGAUAUUUGUUCCAAAAUCCCAAAUUUUAAUUCCAUAGAGCAAAGUGUCUUUAUUUUUAAAUCAUCCAACUCAUCAUAAAUUCAGCUGGAUUCAUUAGAGUUAAAGAAUUGACAACACCAAACAUUUUGUAACAGAAGUUACUGCUGCUUAAGGAGUUAGGGUUCACCUUUUCCAGAGCUCUUCAGUGCCAACCCAGCACCAAUAUCCCAGCGUCGCUGGAGGGAAUGAUGGCGCCCUGCAUUUCAGAGAAGAUUUAAAACCGAGAUCCUAACUGCUCAUCAUCAUUAAAAAUCUCCAGGCAGUUUUCAUAAGAGCAAGGGGGUGGUUGCCUGAGGUUUUGGCUGACAGUCAACCCAACUAAUUACAUUCUGUCUACUGUGUCCUCCCGCAGUUUCAAUUGGAUAUGUUUUUUUUUUUAUUUCCUGUCCUAAUCUGAAUGUAGGGUUGCUAUGUGUUCUUAAGCAGAUGCUGCUGUUCUUGCUGGUAGAAGAGGCUUUUCAGAUUUGUUUUUUUCCUCACAGAAAGUUUUUGAGACUUUAAAUAAAAUAAUUCUUCUAAAUGUUCCUAAGAUCCUGGCACCAAAUACAUUCUAAAUGCAAUGUGUGCAGCAUGAAGGAAUUGCAAAGAUAGCAAGUAGAUAAAAGACGUACUUCACAGGAGCAUCCAGCCUCCUAUAG